UAAGAUGGUAUUACAUUAGAGACAAGAGAUAUAAACAUUUUUUAUUAACUAAAAUUCUUACAUUGUUUUUCUAAAAAUUUAUAUAUAAAUAAAAACAAUAUUGACAAAACACAAACCCAAUUUAAAAAAUUAUAAAGUAAAAGAAACAAAAGAGAAUAAUAGUUGGGUUGGGAAGAGGGAGGCAUGGGGAGGAAUUAAUAAGAGCAAUGGGAGGGUUGUUGAGUUUCUUCGUAUAAAACCAAAAGUAAAAAAGAUGGGGAGGAAGACACUGCCAGCGAAUCACAAAUUCAGACCACCCCACUGCACGUGCACCCUUACUACUGCUCCUGCUCCUACUACUACUGUCUAAUCACUUCCCCCCCCCCCCCCCCCCUUCAUUCAUCUCACUCUCCUCUUUUCUUUCCCCUUCAAAUGUCUAAUCAUAUACGGCUUUAACAUAUGAAAUUUUUAAGUAGAACCAAUGAAAAUUGGACAUGGAUUCUUCCAAUUAGUGAUGUUGAUUUGAGUUAAACACUAUUAUUAUUACUAUCAACUCUCGAAAACAUGUCAGAGAGUAAUUUCAUGGGUCGGAUGGAAAUCCUUGUUCACAAAAUCAUAAGAAAAGAUAAACAGAUAUCCAAGGAAAAAACCUUGUUCGUCUGCACCAACUCUUUUGUAUUAAAAUAAAUCAUCCUUAUCUCCCAACGUCUGUAUAGCCUCCGUUGAUGUGUAACCUUUGGUCAUCUCUCUCUUUCCAUUAAACCAUCGUUGCGCCUCCGUUCCCGCAUCGUCAAAUUCAGGGGGUUGAAUUUUUUUGUGCUGCCUGGCUCUCCUUCCUCUCUUAAUUACCUAAUAAUACUAUUCUAGACACACAUAACUCAUCAAGAAAAAACAAGAGAAAUAUAUAUAUACAUAUGGUUGACACACCAGUUUUUCAAUGUUACGUAGGCAUCAUAUUUCUCCCCGCUCGCAAACUCUUCACACCACAACCAUAUUUCUACUAAAUUCAAUCAAUGAUACCGUGAAUACCCUAGAAAGGCGUCGCUAUGUUUGGUGAGGAACGGAGUCAACGAAAUAACAACGGGAGCCGGUGGUAGGAAUCGUUGUCUAAAAGAUUCAAAGUCUUGCAUCCGUUCUCCUUUCUGCAACCGAAGAUACCUUCCACCAUCCAUUUUGCAGUCAAUAGCCCAUCCCCUGCAUGCAUGGUCAGGUUGCAGAGAUACACAAAAAAGUUAUCCUGAUUCAGGCGAAGAUAUGAUCAAUGACUGUAUGCCUGCUGUUAUACAAUAUCUAGUACACACGCAAAGUUUCAAACCCACAAAUCAAACUUUAAUAUAUAUGAAGAAAGGUAACCAAAAAAAGCAAGAAAAACAUCAUUUUUAUGGCAUUCAAUAUGUACAUAAUAGUUGUAAAAAUACACUUUGAGGAAAGUGGGGGCUUAGCUCAUCAUAUACGUCCUUCAUCAAAGUGAUAUCCAGCUGAGUCAAUUAUCAGUCAAAUGGUGGUCAUGACAUAAUCAAUGUAUGAUUUAAUUGGCUGAUCAUAUCACCAACUUCAGCCAUCACUUGGCUUAAACUCAAUUUUCUCACAGACGAAAAUCAAAGUCCAGCUGUUAUAUAUGCAUGCCAGUAAAACAAGUAGAAAACCAAGUUUGAAAAGUGGAAUAAAAGUUAUAGCUAGCCCCUCCGGCUUUUCUUUUUCUCUCUUUCACUGAGCAAACUGAGAUUAUUUUACAAUAUCCAUGAGCGUAUAUUACUAAUAAGUGGGAUCGCACUUUGCCCAAGAAGCUUAUCCCAUCCCUCCUCCCUUCCUUCAUAUCUUAUCUUUUCCAUGUUCAACUUGUGGGGUCUUAACUUCGAGCGAGAACUUCGAAAGAUUUCUCUGAUCAAGCACCACUCUCUAAAGAGAAAAAAGAAAGAGAGGGACACUGUCCCUCUUUCCUAUGGACCUUACCAGCAAUAAUUUACAUAAACUUUUAAAAACCAUGAGAUGCAUGUUCGUACGGUUUCGUAACAAGAUGCGAGAUACUAUAAAGGAAGCAACGG
rnacentral:lncRNA from 1 species